GAUUCUCCCCCAACAGUAGUAGAAAAGGUUACGGUAGGGGCGGGCACCCAGGAGCUUCUUCUUCCUUGCCCUCUCUCAACUCUCCCACAACAAGAAGCAAACACAACCCAGUGACCCACCAACAACAACACGCGAAAAAUUCUCUCUCCUCCCCCCCCCCCCUUCUCUCUCUACAUAUACACACAGACAUAUAUAUACCACCAUCUCUCUGUCUCUCUAGUGUUAAUUUGGCUCAGAGAUGGAGACUGCCGCCGACGAAUCGCGAUUGGUGAUAGCGGGCGGUGGAGCUCCGCCGCCGCCUCCUCCGCCGCCGACCCCAGCGGCUCUGCCGGUUGAGGAGGAGGAUGAGGAGGGAGAGGAGGAGGAGGAACAAGAGGAGGAGGAAAUAAGCGAGGACGAGAGUUUGAUGGUGAAAGCGCAGGCCCUCAUGGAGAAGAUUACGUCCUCCCCUGAUAACCCUAACCCCAAUGUCCUCCACGCCCUUUCUUCCAUUUUCGAAACCCAAGAAUCCAGAUACAUGGAAGAAACAGGUCAUUCCUCCUUGAACAAUGCUCGAGCUUCUCACAGUGUUGGACGGUUGGGGAACUUGGUUCGGGACAAUGAUGAAUUUUUCGAAUUGAUAUCUUCAACGUUUCUGUCUGAAACUAGAUACCCGGUGUCUGUUCAGGCGGCUGCAGCAAGGCUUCUUUUCAGCUGUUCACUCACUUGGAUGUAUCCCCAUGUUUUUGAAGAAACUGUUUUGGAGAACAUAAAGGGAUGGGUAAUGGAUGAGACAGCAAAAUCUGCUGGUGAAGAUCACAACAGGAAGCACGAAUCAGGGAGGAAGAAAUCUUCAAACUCUGAGAUGUUGAGGACGUAUUCUACUGGCCUGCUUGCUGUAUGUCUGUUAGGUGGUGGUCAAGUAGUGGAAGAUGUGUUAACAUCUGGGUUGUCAGCUAAGCUUAUGCGAUAUCUUCGCAUACGGGCUUUAGGGGAGACAAGUUUGAAUCAAAAAGAUGCUCCUUAUACGGCAGAGAGCAAAAACACAACUUCUGCUAAUUGCAUACGAGGUAGAGAAGACAGUCGAAGUAGGUUCCGGCAAGUUUCUGAAACUUCCCAUUUGGAUGCUCCUAAGAUAAUGGAGGAAGGAUCAUUGGAUGACCAAACUGCAGAACAGGAUCAUGAUAGAAGACUGGCACGUGGGAACCGUGGAUGGGCACGUUCUAAAGGAAAGGGAAGGGUUAAUGAAGGAGAUGUAGAGAAUGAACAGGGUUUGAUAUCUCCGGGUUCUGGUAGUGGAUUGGGUGCCGAUGGGAGGAGCCUGAAGGACAGAGUUAUAAAUAGAAGUUUAGAGCUUAGAAGACUCCCAGAUCCCAAGAAGGGAUUGGGGAGGAUAGGUGGCGAUAGUCUUGUCAUAGAAAGAGAGGAUAACGAUGAUUGUUUCCAAGAAUGUAAAGUUGGCACCAAGGAUAUUUCUGAUCUAGUGAAAAAGGCAGUCCGAGCAGCUGAAGCUGAAGCCAGAGCAGCCAAUGCACCAGCAGAAGCAGUCAAAGCAGCUGGUGAUGCUGCAGCUGAAGCUGUCAAAAGUGCUAGUUUGGAGGAAUAUAGAAAGACAAAUGAUGAAGAAGCUGCAGUUUUGGUAGCUUCAAGAACUGCAUCUACAGUUAUUGAUGCUGCUAAUGCAGUAGAAGUUUCAAGAAGUUCGAGCGGUAUGCUUUCUGAUUCAAUGAAUUCAAGGGGAACCAUACCAGAACCAAACGAAGAAGUUGAAGAAUUUUUCAUUCCUGAUACUGACUCCCUGGCAAAGCUGAGAGAGAAAUUCUGCAUUCAGUGUCUUGUGACACUGGGAGAAUAUGUUGAAGUCCUUGGGCCUGUGUUGCAUGAAAAGGGGGUGGAUGUUUCUCUUGCCCUGUUGCAACGAAGUUCAAAACAUAAAGAGACAUUGAAGAUGGCAGUGCUCUUGCCUGAUGUAUUGAAGCUUAUCUGUACUUUGGCUGCUCACCGGAAAUUCGCUGCAUUAUUUGUGGAUCGUGGUGGCAUGCAAAGACUACUUGCUGUGCCAAGAGUUUCCCAGACCUUCUUUGGUCUUUCUUCAUGCUUAUUCACAAUUGGUUCACUUCAGGGAAUUAUGGAACGUGUAUGCGCUCUUCCUUCAGAUGCUGUACAACAGGUGGUUGAGUUAGCUCUUCAACUUCUUGAGUGCCCUCAGGACCAAGCCAGAAAAAAUGCUGCUUUAUUUUUCUCUAAUGCAUUUGUCUUCAAAGCAGUCCUAGAUUCCUUUGAUGCUCAGGAUGGCCCACAGAAAUCUCUCUCUCUUUUACUGGAUGCCGCCUCGGUAAGGUCUGGGGUUAAUUCUGCAGCAUUGGGAUUGUCUAGUAGUUCUGGUUCAGUUCGAAAUGAUCGAUCUCAUUCGGAAGUAUUGACCUCGUUGGAGAAGCAGAUAACUUAUCACACCUGCAUCGCAUUGAGACAAUAUUUUAGAGCACAUCUUCUCUUGUUAGUGGACUCAAUCCGUCCAAAUAAAAGCAAUCGAAGUGCAGUCCGGAAUAUACAAAAUGUUAGGGCUGCCUAUAAGCCUCUUGACAUUGGUAAUGAGGCUAUGGAUGCAAUAUGUCGACUGCUACAGAAGGAUAGGAAGCUUGGCCCUGCAUUUGUGAGGACUCGUUGGCCUGCAGUUGACAAGUUCUUAGCUUCUAAUGGGCAUAUAAUCAUGUUGGAAUUGUGUCAGGCCCCAACUGUGGAUCGUUAUUUGCAUGAUCUGCUUCAAUAUGCGUUGGGUGUUUUGCACAUUGUGACUUUGGUACCUUACAGCCGCAAACCAAUUUUGAAUGCAAUGUUAAGCAGUGAUCGUGUGGGUAUAGCAGUCAUUUUGGAUGCAGCAAAUGGUGCUGGUUAUCCUGACCCUGAGAUAAUUCAUCCGGCAUUGAAUGUGUUAGUCAAUCUUGUUUGCCCUCCUCCUUCAAUCAGUAAUAAACCACCUCCUAUUACACAAGUUCAGCAAUCUGCUUCUGGUCAAACCUCGAAUGGUUCUGCUGUGGAGUCUAGCGUGGUAGAUCGAGGCAGCUUAGCAGCACUUGGCACACCAUCUGUCAGCAGUACUUCUCAAGCACCUGCAAUUUCUGGGUUAGUGGGAGAUCGGAGGAUAUCUUUGGGUGCUGGAGCAGGUUGUGCUGGCCUUGCUGCUCAAUUGGAACAAGGAUACCAUCAAGCAAGAGAGGCUGUCCGUGCUAACAAUGGCAUAAAGGUUCUGCUUCAGCUUCUCCAACCGCGUAUAGUCACACCUCCUUCUGCCCUUGACUGUCUUCGUGCUCUUGCAUGCCGAGUUCUUCUUGGUUUAGCCAGAGAUGAUACAAUUGCACACAUAUUGACAAAGCUCCAGGUAGGGAAAAAAUUAUCAGAACUAAUCCGAGAUCCAGGCAGCCAGACUUCAGGAAAUGAGCACAGCAGGUGGCAAGCUGAACUAGCCCAGGUGGCAAUUGAGCUGAUUGCGGUCGUUACUAAUUCUGGGCGUGCAAGUACAUUAGCAGCUACUGAUGCGGCGACCCCUACUUUGAGGCGAAUAGAGAGGGCUGCAAUAGCUGCCGCCACCCCUAUUACUUACCAUUCCAGGGAACUUCUUCUACUUAUUCAUGAACACCUUCAAGCAUCUGGUCUGUCUGCAACUGCGGACACACUUCUGAAAGAGGGUCAGUUGAAUCCUUUGCCUUCUUCGGCAGCCCCAUCAUCUCUUGUGCAUCAAUCCUCAGUCCAGGACACCCCAUCAAUACAAAUUCAAUGGCCAUCCGGACAUACUCCUGGUGGAUUUCUAUCUGAUAGACCGAAAAUAUCUUUACAGGAUGAAGCUUCAAGAGCAAAGUGUGAUUUAGAUGUGGCUUCUGCAAAAAAGCCUGUGUCGUUCUCAUCAACCUUGAAUUGUCGGUCAAAAAUUCAGCCUCCAUCACAGGAUUGGCUGGCAUCAAGUAGCAAAAUCAGCAGUACUUCAAAAAAGUUUUCUGCACCCAUAGGUCCCCCGGAAACACCUUCCGUUUCUGCAGUGAAGCCCAGCUUGGAUAAUGACGUGCAAUUUAAAACUCCAAUUGUAUUGCCAAUGAAACGCAAGUUAACUGAGUUAAAGGACACUGGAGUGGCAUUAGCAGGGAAACGACUCCAAACCCGUGAACCGGGCCUUCGGUCCCCUGUUUUCCCCUCACCUAAUAAUACUUCCCGUAAAGGCACUCUACUGACCGAGGCUAAUGCGUAUUGUACACCAAGUUCUACUACAAAAGAUCAUUAUGGGCGAUUCAAACUGAAUGCCACUCUGGGUGAUAAUUCGGAUGAUAACCCAAGCACCCAUGUUGGUCAAAUGACCCUUUCAUCCCAGUUUGGAUUUCCAAGUGAUCCACAACCUAUCAACACCGAAAGGGUAACUCUGGACUCUCUUGUUGUUCAGUAUCUGAAACACCAGCAUCGCCAGUGCCCAGCUCCUAUUACUACAUUACCACCUCUAUCUCUUUCGCACCCGCAUGUGUGUCCCGAACCAAGACGAAGCCUUGAUGCUCCAUCAAACGUAACAGCCCGACUUUGUACGCGCGAGUUUAGAAGUAGGUAUGGUGGGAUCCACGGAAACCGUAGGGAUCGUCAAUUUGUCUAUAACAGGUUUAGACUGUGGAGAACUUACCGCGAUGAUGCUGGUGAUGGUGGUGGCCUUUUGACAUGCAUUACUUUUUUGGGAGAUUCCUCUCAAAUUGCUGCUGGCAGCCAUUCUGGAGAGCUCAAAAUUUUUGACUCCAGCAGCAAUAAUGUGGUGGAGAGCUGUGCUGGCCACCAGUAUCCUUUGACAGUUGUCCAGUCGUAUUAUUCCGGCGGGGCCCAAUUGGUUCUAUCUUCUAGUGCCCAUGACGUACGAUUGUGGGACGCGUCUUCAGUUUCGGCGGGACCAAGCCAUUCAUUUGAAGGGUGCAAGGCUGCAAGGUUAAGCAAUUCUGGGACCACAUUUGCGGCAUUAUCAACUGAGCCAUCCCAAAAGGAAAUUAUGUUGUAUGAUGUACAGACAUGCCAGUUAGAUCUGAAGCUGAUGGACACAUCGGCAACUUCUUCGGUCCGGGGCCAUGGUUAUUCCCUUGUUCACUUUAGCCCGUCAGACACAAUGCUGCUUUGGAAUGGAGUCUUGUGGGAUAGGCGUGGCUCUGGUCCAAUACAUCGGUUUGAUCAGUUUACGGACUACGGUGGUGGUGGCUUUCAUCCGGCUGGAAAUGAGGUGAUUAUAAAUUCCGAAGUCUGGGAUAUGCGGAAGUUCAGGCUCCUCCGAAGUGUACCUUCCUUGGAUCAGACUGUAAUAAAAUUCAAUGCCAGUGGGGAUGUUAUAUAUGCAAUUCUAAGGAGAAAUCUUGAGGAUGUUACUUCGGCAUUUCACACUCGUCGUGUCAAGCAUCCACUUUUUUCUGCUUUCCGCACGGUGGACGCUAUCAACUACUAUGACAUUGCCACCAUUCCAGUAGAUCGUUGUGUCCUUGAUUUGGCAACGGAACCAACCGAUUCUUUUGUGGGGUUGGUUUCAAUGGACGAUCAAGACGAGAUGUAUUCUUCUGCGAGGGUGUAUGAAAUCGGCCGUCGGAGGUCCACCGAUGACGACUCCGAUCCUGAUGAUGUUGAGAGCGAAGAAGAGGAGGACGACGACGACGAGGAUGGUGAUGAUGACUCGUUGAUGGGACCGGAUAUUGAUGGGGAUGGUGAGAGUGAUGGUGAUGAUAUGAGCAAUGAUGACGAUGAUGAUAGUCUCAGUGAGUUUGACGACGACGACGAUGAUGAUGGAGAAGAUGGUAAUUUUAUGAUGGAUGGUUUAGACUUUAACGGGGGUGGUGGAAUCUUCGAGAUCGUAACCGAGGGCGAUGAAGACGAUGACAGUCAGGUGGUUGAAUCUCCGAGUAGUGGGGACGAUGAAGAUUUUGUAGGUUUUGGCUUCUAAAUGGGGGUAUAUAAUUACCUGAAUGGGAAAAGAAGUUGCUAAUUUAGGUGAUUUGAUGGAAAAAGGAGUUGAAUCUAUGGGAGAGGCGUUUCUUUUAAAUUGAGGAAAUUUUUGAAAAUGUUUCGAGGUGGUUUUUGCGGUUGAUGAGAAUGUUUUGGAUGUUGCAGACUGCAGAGGUUGAUGGAUGCCUCCAUCGAUGAGGUGGAGAUUGUUGGGCUUGGCAUCCCUUUUCGUGGUAGCCAGCACAUCCAAAAUCUAAAGAACGCAUGCACAGCACUGUCAUUGAGAUUAAGGUAAACCCACCAUUUAUAUAGAAGUAAUAGUAGGAAAUAGGAAUACCAUUGGCAGAGGUGAAUCAACCCAGCAAGGAGAACAAAACAAUUAUCCCAGUUGGCUCCCCAAGGGCUCUAGGCAUGGGCUGAGGAUAUAUGGCCCAACUUGACAUGGGCCUUUCUUUCUAGUGGACCCUUUUGUAUGACAUGAAAAUUGUGGAUCUACUGGACCUACAACGAGUGAUAAUAAUGGGCACUUUCUAUGUUCAAAGGUUAUGAUCAUUAUGGUUGAUCUUCA